rnacentral:rRNA from 1 species
AGCGAACGCUGGCGGCAGGCCUAACACAUGCAAGUCGAACGAACUCUUCGGAGUUAGUGGCGGACGGGUGAGUAACACGUGGGAACGUGCCUUUAGGUUCGGAAUAACUCAGGGAAACUUGUGCUAAUACCGAAUGUGCCCUUCGGGGGAAAGAUUUAUCGCCUUUAGAGCGGCCCGCGUCUGAUUAGCUAGUUGGUGAGGUAACGGCUCACCAAGGCGACGAUCAGUAGCUGGUCUGAGAGGAUGGCCGGCCACACUGGGACUGAGACACGGCCCAGACUCCUACGGGAGGCAGCAGUGGGGAAUCUUGCGCAAUGGGCGAAAGCCUGACGCAGCCAUGCCGCGUGAAUGAUGAAGGUCUUAGGAUUGUAAAAUUCUUUCACCGGGGACGAUAAUGACGGUACCCGGAGAAGAAGCCCCGGCUAACUUCGCGCCAGCCGCCGCCGUAA